rnacentral:lncRNA from 10 species
UUCUUCCGGUGGAGAUGGCUGCGGCCGUGGCGGGGAUGCUGCGAGGGGGUCUCCUGCCCCAGGCGGGUAAGGAGUGGCCCAGGUCCUCACGGCGUGUCUUGCGGCCGCUCUCUAGUCCUCAUCUGCCCUCCUCUACUACUGAUUCUUCCCAUAAUCUCUGACCCCAGCUAGAUCGCUGGCCUCCUUACCCCGUCCAGUUCCUUGUGACUCGACUGGCCGGCUGCCUACCCUCCAGACUGUCCGCUAUGGCUCCAAGGCUGUUACCCGCCACCGUCGUGUGAUGCACUUUCAGCGGCAGAAGCUGAUGGCUGUGACUGAAUAUAUCCCCCCGAAACCAGCCAUCCACCCAUCAUGCCUGCCAUCUCCUCCCAGCCCCCCACAGGAGGUAAGGAGGAAUUUGGGUACAUGUCACUUGGUGGUGGGAUGGUGGAUUAAAGUAAUCUUGUCUCUGGCCAUAGUGAAGUAGGACACUCAGCCAUUGUCAUGCACGUCAUUAUUUCAGUUUGACUGCCUGAUCCAGAUAUUUUAAGAUGAAAUCCGCACUUGAUUCUGUAUUGGCUUUUGGGCUCUGGAUUGGG